AAAAAGAGUAAGUUUGCAUGUAAAAAGCAUUACUAUUUAUAAUGCUGAAUCUCUAUCAGUGAAAUUAUCAACCAGUCUUCUCCUCAAGCCAUUAGUCCUAGAUUCAUAAAAUAUGUGUCCUAGUGGAAAAGAACACCAACUCUGAUGAAAGAAGACAUAGGAUUCAAUUGUGUGGCUCCAAAGCUUGCUAACUCUCUGAACUUAGAUGAGUUACAUUACAUCCUUAAGCUCUAGUUUUCUAAAGUGUAAAAUAGAACUAAUAAAUUUGAUCUCUCUAGAUGGUUAAUCAGGAUUAGAAAUAAUAUGUGUUAAGUUCCAUGAUGCACAUACAGCUCAUAGAAGUGCUCAAGAAGGGACUAAUGAAUAAGAAUGCAUUGACUUCCUACACACACACACACACACACACACACACACACACACACACACAAAAAGAACAUGCCAAGUAAAAAGAAAAACCGUAAAAUGUUAGUACUUUGUCUAUAAGAUGUUUGAAAAUAUCUGGAUUUACUUUCAGUUUUUAUCCACAUGCUUGGCAUUAUCUUAUCAUAAUCUAAGAUAAACAAUGUUUUAUCUGUCUUUUCCUCAGUGAGUACACAUUUCAUAACUGAAAUAUGGAAGAGAAGACAAGCCUAUUUAUUGUUUCCCAGCAGAAGUAAUAAUACAAAUAUUUAAAUAUUAGUGGCUUGUUUUUAUUGAGCACUUACUAUACUAAGCCCUUUACAUCCUUAAACCAUUUAUCCCUAUAAAACAUUAAUGAGAAGUAUAAAUGUACUUCUACUUGUAUGUGUUCAGAUGUUCUGUCAUUACUCUCAUUUUUAUGGAUCGGAAAACAGAGACUCAGAAAAGUUAGGUAAUUUGCCUAAAAUCACACAGCUAGGACCAGAACUUGAACACAGGGAUUUUGACUCCAGGGCUUGUGUUUUUAACCAUUACACAUACUGCCUAUCUAGUCGAUAGUCUAAAUUCUCUACCAUGAGCCCUACAGUGAAGAGAGAGAGGAGUGCAAUAACAAUUGACCUACAGUGAGUAAAGUCAGGGAGGAAAUGGGAGAGACUAGGAAGAAGUGAUAGAAACUUGCCUGGUCAGUCCAUAAACCAAUGUUGGGAAGGACAGGGUUUUUUUAUUUUGUUUUCCUUCUUCUUCUUCCUCUUUUAUUAUUUUAAGAGUUAUAUAUAUGUAAUAUUCUUUAAAGAUUUUUCAAUCUUUAAUUUUUAAUUGUCAAUUUUAUGACCCAAUAUGUUACAAAUUCAAAAUUGAGUAAAACUGUGUUUUGCAAACUGUGAUUUGAAACAACAUGCCUAUGUGAGCAUGUAAUAUAACUCCCUUUCUUUGAAAACAUUCCCUUAGAGACCUCAUUCCACACCUAAUACAUUAGUCAGAUGAGUGAGUUUCUAUCCAUAAAUCCUGUAUUCCCUUUCAGUGUCUCUCAGUUUAAUCAGAGCACAAAACUAAGAGAGAUAUUGGUAAUGUAGAUAUUUACCAAAUACUGUGUUUUAUUGUUUACAGCCCCUUGAUCCACGUCAGGAAAGAUUUAUUUUACUGCAACCAAGUGAAAAUGUAAAGUCAAGCCUUAUUUAGGAAAUUUAACAACAUUAUUUCAUUUCAUAAACUAAAUCUGAGAAGAAUGUCAGCUACGCUCAUUUACUUUUAUGAUAAAUAAUUCCCUGGUAAAAUGAAAAAAGCUCCAUUUCUAUUAACUUAUUAUUGAUUCACGUCCACGUCUUCCAGAACUGACUAGAAAGCAAGUACCAGGUUUGAGUUCUCACAGAACCUUGUACUUAAACUACUUUGUAUUGUGUAUAUGACGUAUCAAGUGUGUCAGAUUCCUGUUAGCGAAACUAAAUCUUGUCUCAUGGGCUGCAUUUUCACAUACAGUUCACUGACAAGUCCUCUUGGAAGAUGUCAGAGUAAGUGGUAGAACCGAGACAGUCUCCUCUUUAAAUUCCACUACUAUAUGUAUUAAAAUACAUGAAAGAGAAAGAGAAGAUAGCAUAAAUUAACCUAUCUUAUGCAGGGCUAUUCUUAAUCCAUAAAAUAAAGUCUUGGGACCUGGAGAUAACUAAGACAGGAUGAAAUACAUGAUCUCAGACAAGUAAAAACAUUUUGAUGGAAGCUGGAAAAUAGUCUAUGAUCUAGUAGCUCUUUCUGAAGCCCCAGCCCUUCCUCAGUUUUCCACUUCAGGCCUUUGGCAAAACUUCCCUCAUACUUCUAAGACAAAAUUUAAUAAGCAUUCCCUCACCCCAACUGGCUCUUAAACCAAAGACUUAGAUAAGUCUGUGUUUAUCAGCUGUCCAGUGAAAUGGUCAGAAUGGUCACUGGAAGGUACAGCAAGAGCAAUGAUGAUGGUUAAAGUUUUAGAAAUAAGUAAAUAAUCCUACUUUUAAUGGGCUUGCUUUCCAAAUUCUGAACUCCAACCUCAGCCCUUGAAGGGGGGUUUCCUAAUAACAAAACUGAGUUUACAAGUUGAUGGGAAUUCACGUUCACAGUGGUACAAUAUUUUUGGAAAUCAAUAGCAAAUAGCAAUGUAACAGUUUCCGAAUGACAAGGCAAAAGAAAACAAGGACCAGAACACAAUGGAAUAAAAAUAAUAAUAAACCAAGAAAAAUCUUAAUAGUAGGAAGCAAAAGCAUCUUGGAAUUCAGUGCAGAAAUUCAAACAGCAAAAUGGAAAAAAAAGACUUGAGGACAUAUCUAGACUAUGGGGAAAAUAAACAAGAAAUAUAACCAGUAACUGAGUAAAUAAAAAGUCGGAGAAAACUGUGGCAAAGAGUUGAAUGGAUUGCUCGACUUUUGUCCCAAGCCCCCUUGAAUAUGCCUUGCGUGCAACAGAAGCUGAGAAGAUAAAAUAACAUUUCCCAGACUCUCCUUCAGCUAGGGUUCUGGGUGUGAUUUAAUUUCAACAAGCAGGUGUACCUGCGAGAAACUUGCACUUGAAAUUGAAUUAAAUGGAGAGAGGCAUUACACUGUGAGGCAUCCAUCUUGCUGGUGCAGAUCUGGGAGAUGAUUCUCCUCUGGCUACAGCAGUUCUGCUGGCAGUUUCUUAAUCCCAGAUCACAGCUAAAGUGUGUAAUCCUAGACCUAGCACUGGGCCAGCCCAAUAGCUUCCUGACCCCUUUAGCUUCCUGAUUGUGGCAAAUGUUGCCAAUCCCUUGGGUAGCCGGUUCUACAGUGUUGUUUGAAGUCAUUUCUGGAGGCCCUGCCUAAAGCCUGCCUUUCCAGAUCUUUCAACAAUUCUCUUUACCAAGGACAUUCUUACAUGAAACCAGCAUCUUGUUUCUUAAGUCAAAUGGUGACAGUGAUGAAUACAACGACUUCUAGUACAGUCUCUUUUAGGUUUAAGAUUACUACAAAAAUAUCAUGUGAUUAAUGGGAAAUUCCCAGUGUAUUUGUGGAAGAGAAUUGGUCCUAUCAAAUACUGGACAUCAGAGAUAACUGAGUUUUCCCCAGCAAAGGGGAUGGCCACACCAUGACUCAAUAAGCAGCUCUGCAGCUGCUCCUGCAAAUCACUCCGUUUCACCAUCAGUCUCCUGGCCCCAUAAGAGGAGAGCCUACAUGAAUGUCAUCACCUUGCCAAAAAAUUCUGGGUCAGAGCCAGCCAAGGAGAGCCUUCCAGAGGCAGGCAAGAACCCUCAGCUACUCUCACUUUUUACCUAGCUGGAGGUUCCGUCCAGAGGCCCGACUAGGAAACCUCUCCACUACAAGAUGUUCAAGUGGGCCACAUACCUGGCUUGCCCAACAGGCACAGCAGAUGAGUAACAAGUGCGUUUAUAGAUUUCGUGGCGCUCCAGCUGUCGCUGAUAUUUACAGAUGAAGGAACAGGCUCAAAAAAUCCAAGUCACACAAUCCAUAACAGGUGGCAAAGCCUGUAUCCAAAGCUGAAGUCACUGCUACCAAGGGGUUGUCAGUCAGUCAAUAAGGAAGGGAACUGCAAGACCUGCUGCUCAUCAUCCACACCAAGGGAAAUUCCAUUCCCCUCACAGAUGGGACAAUAUAACACUUCUGGAUGUCUCCUGUCACUUUUCUCCUGGGAAGACGAGCUAAUGUGAUUGGUGAAGAGCCUGAAAGCCACCGAGCCAUGAUUUUUCCAAGGACUCUGGUCAUUGAAUUGAAAAGGAGAGUCAAGCUUCUUGGGAGUAUGGCACAGAUGUAUACAAUUUUUCACAAAGGAGCCCACCAUUUUAUCCCCAUGCUCUGAAAAUUAAAAAUGGGCAAAGAUUUCCUGCAGACCUGUACAGUCCUGGAAUAAGGGUAUACCCAUGACAGAAGAGAUUGUUUUCGAUAUAUAUCCACUGGGGAAUGCUACACACCCACACAAAGCUGCCAGAACGGAUCAUCCACCUGCGGAUCUUGGAGCAGAAAACCAAUCUAUUUUUUUCUCUAAAACUGAAGGAGUUCUUGAGGGAAGGAAACAGCCCUGUACAUUAUGCAGAGCACUUGAAAUGAUUCCUUCUCUUUGUGAUGAUUUCCAUAUGCUGUUUCCAAUGAAAGGGCGAUGGCUUACUGAGUGAACAUAAGGCCACAUUCUGAAACCAUUACAUGCCAUCUCACAGGGAGAGAUCCUGAGGACUGCAGAAGCCCUUCUUACAAUACUGAGAUCCGGAUCUCAAAAGGCAUUGCAAGGAAGACGGCAGAUAACCCUUCAAUUUUAUAAAGGUGGCAGGAUUCCACCAUCGCAUUAUGAAAGGAUUUUCCUAUGGAAGCCUGGGUGCAGAAAAUUUCAAAGAAACUCCUUUUUUCACAGUGAACAUUAAGGAAAAAAAAAAGCCAAAGGGAAAGAAGAAUAACUACAAAGGCCUGUGGUCCAUAUAUUUCAUAAGGAUCUAGAUACAUUUUUAAUAUAGUACUGGAUUAUCUGAAACAUCAGAUAAACUAAAGAUAAUUUAAGGAAAAAUAUAAGGCAUGAUGGCACUGUUCUAGGCAUGAUGAAUAUGGAAAUUAACAAGUCAGAUGAGAUGCAUACCCUCUAGACACUCAUAUUCCAGUAAGAAGGACAGACAAUAAAGACAACCCUGGGCUUCGUCAGAAGGUGAGAAUUUUCUCCAACAAAAGUGGGAACACAAAGGACAUUCAAGAUAUCCCAAAGAUCUAUUAUCUAAUUUCAAAAUCAAAUCUUGCACUAUUUGGACUUUCAUUAUUUCAGUAUUUACAAUGACACUUUGCACCUGCUUUCUGUAAAGAUGAGAUCUUAAAGCUGAAAUUUGGAGGCAGAAGAAUUGGCUUUUAGAGUUAAAGCACUGUGCUACAAAAACAGAUUUGUAUCUUCCCUUGGACGGCUUGGAAACUGUCAGUGCAAUCCAGGGUAAGAAGGUGUGGAACCUAGAAAGACAGAAGUACGCGGGCCUCUCACUGCUGUGGCCUCUCCCGUUGCGGAGCAC